rnacentral:rRNA from 1 species
GACGAACGCUGGCGGCGUGCUUAACACAUGCAAGUCGAACGGAAAGGCCCUGCUUUUGUGGGGUGCUCGAGUGGCGAACGGGUGAGUAACACGUGAGUAACCUGCCCUUGACUUUGGGAUAACUUCAGGAAACUGGGGCUAAUACCGGAUAGGAGCUCCUGCUGCAUGGUGGGGGUUGGAAAGUUUCGGCGGUUGGGGAUGGACUCGCGGCUUAUCAGCUUGUUGGUGGGGUAGUGGCUUACCAAGGCUUUGACGGGUAGCCGGCCUGAGAGGGGGAGCGGCAGCAGUGGGACUGAGACACGGCCCAGACGGCUACGGGAGGCAGCAGUGGGGAAUAUGGCACACUGGGCGAAAGCCUGAUGCAGCAACGCCGCGUGAGGGAUGACGGCCUUCGGGUUGUAAACCUCUUUUAGCAGGGAAGAAGCGAGAGUGACGGUACCUGCAGAAAAAGCGCCGGCUAACUACGUG